UGCCCAGUGACAAUCUGUUCAACGGCCGCGGUAUCCUGACCGUGCAAAGGUAGCAUAAUCAUUUGCCUUUUAAUUGGAGGCUAGUAUGAAUGGGUAGACGUAGAUUCAACUGUUUCUUUAUUAUAAAUAAAACUUAAACUUUAGGUGAAGAUGCCUAAAUACUAUAGAAAGACAAGAAGACCCUAUAGAGUUUUAGUAAAACAUAUACAUCCUUUAUAUUAUUACUUUGGUUGGGGCGACCUAGGAUUUUUAUAAACAUCCUUUUAUUUUACGAUCCAUAAAUCUCUAUUAUAGACCCUUAAACGGAUUAUUAGAAAUAACUACCUUAGGGAUAACAGGCUUAUCUUCCUAGAGAGCUCUUAUUGAUAGGAUGGUUUG
rnacentral:rRNA from 1 species